AUCAUGUUUAUGUGCCAGUCAAACUCCAGCAGCCUCAUUAUGAUCAAUUGUACCAUCACAGAUCAAAGGAUCAUUCACACAACUACAGCAUUGAGAUAAUUACUGACGAUUGAUUAAAAUCUAAGUGAUCUCUCAUAUGAUUAUGCUCAAUACUAAUUAUUUUCUAGCAACUAUCCGCACUCAUCAUCUAGUAUCUCUACACUA
rnacentral:lncRNA from 1 species